AACCAACAGGGAUUGCCCCAGUAACGGCGAGUGAAGCGGCAACAGCUCAAAUUUGAAAUCUGGCCCCCGGGUCCGAGUUGUAAUUUGUAGAGGAUGCUUUUGGCGAGGUGCCUUCCGAGUUCCCUGGAACGGGACGCCAUAGAGGGUGAGAGCCCCGUCUGGUCGGACACCGAGCCUCUGUAAAGCUCCUUCGACGAGUCGAGUAGUUUGGGAAUGCUGCUCAAAAUGGGAGGUAUAUGUCUUCUAAAGCUAAAUAUUGGCCAGAGACCGAUAGCGCACAAGUAGAGUGAUCGAAAGAUGAAAAGCACUUUGAAAAGAGGGUUAAAAAGUACGUGAAAUUGUUGAAAGGGAAGCGCCUAUGACCAGACUUGGGCCCGGUGAAUCACCCAGCGUUCUCGCUGGUGCACUUCGCCGGGCACAGGCCAGCAUCAGUUUGGCGCGGGGGAGAAAGGCUUCGGGAAUGUGGCUCCCCCGGGAGUGUUAUAGCCCGUUGCGCAAUACCCUGCGCUGGACUGAGGUACGCGCAUUCGCAAGGAUGCUGGCGUAAUGGUCAUCAGCGACCCGUCUUGAAACACGGACCAAGGAGUCGUCUUCGUAUGCGAGUGUUCGGGUGUCAAACCCCUACGCGUAAUGAAAGUGAACGCAGGUGAGAGCUUCGGCGCAUCAUCGACCGAUCCUGAUGUUCUCGGAUGGAUUUGAGUAAGAGCAUACGGGGCCGGACCCGAAAGAAGGUGAACUAUGCCUGUAUAGGGUGAAGCCAGAGGAAACUCUGGUGGAGGCUCGCAGCGGUUCUGACGUGCGAAUCGAUCGUCAAAUAUGGGCAUGGGGGCGAAAGACUAAUCGAAC
rnacentral:rRNA from 1 species